rnacentral:lncRNA from 1 species
CAAGUGCUUUUAGGUCUGGUUUACUCUGAAUCAACAGAAUGUGCAAUCUAAUUACCUAAUCCAUUCUGACAAUCAGAAAAAGAAAUGCGGUGAACAGCUCGAUUGAUUCCAUGAGGGCCCAUAAUUGUCCUACGAAAUAAAAUAAAAAUCAUUAAAUCUCUAAUGCCAUAUAUGCAUAUAAAGCUAUGUUAAUACAGAAGAAAUUACAGUGACCAUGUUUUUACCUCUAAUACAAACCAAAACUAGUCUUCUUGACUGUCAACUUUACAUUAUUUGAUACUUUUGUGCCACCCCUCCAUCCAAUGAAAACUCAAUCUGUUCAUCAUAAAUAUGAGAUAAGGGUAAAAUAAAGUAUGCUUAGUUUAUUUCCAUUCUCCCCAAAGUUUAUUUCCAUUCUCCCCAAAGAACUUCAGGCAGAAUUCUGAAUCCCACUUAUAGUGAAAGGAUUUUGAUUAAAUAGAAGCAAAAUUCCAUGACCUGGUCCAGCUUAAUGUUUAGGCAAGAAAAACACAUCAUAACAUCUCGGAUCAGUUAAUGAAUACUAAGACAGAACCACAGCUAAGAAAGUGCAUACAAAAACAUUUGCUAAAAUAUCUAACAUAAAACUUUGUGGUUAUUCAUGAAUGUAAGCUUUUCCCUCCAGUCUUUCAUUUCUUAUUCAACACUGUUCUGUUUAUAAAGGCUUCUUUCCAAAUGUUAUUGCCUGCUCCUCUGUGUACCCUCCAACCCCAGGUCAGAAUUCCAGGAUGGCACCUGCAGCUGUCUGAAGGCAGAUGAGCAUUUUGUAUGCACGUGAUAAUGGGAAAGAAUUAAAUAAGUAUACAAGGCUAGAAAAACACCAUCAGAACCCAAAGGUUAAGCAUACCAGUAUAAGAGAGAAAGACCAUCGAAACGCUCCGGUUCGUCUUCAUCUCCUGGUGAGAGCAAGGACAUUCUUCAGUACAGCAACCAAAAUACACUGGAGGUUUCCAGUUCAACGGGAUAAAGGUUACCAGCAGGACAAUUUCUGCUACUAACCAAAAAAACAAGUCAAACAGACAGAGCCCGAGACGAGUGUCUCUGCCUACUUAAUCUUCUCUGAAACCCUCUGCGUCACAUAGGCUAAUUCAGCUAUCCAGGCAAUGUUUACUUUUUCUGUUUGAAAUAGCAAUUUGUAGCAACUUUAAAGACUUAUAAAUGCAGAGGAGGGAAAAAUUACUUGCAUUUAUUAAAACUGGGAUUAUGCAAUCUAUAGCUAACAGCAAGCAGAUGAAAUAAUUAAACUUAUUUAUUCAUGUUCUUCCAGUUAUUUAUUUACAUGCUCCCUACAAACAAGGUCACAAGAAAUAACUUAUGACCUUUCCAAAGCAACCUGCCUAGCAGGCUGGGUUAUAUACAUCCGCACACAAAAGGGAAAGCCCACAAAGCAGACAGACUGAAAGCAUUAAGCAAAUGCCAUUAUGCUAUUACUUGGCAUUCUCAGUUACAGUACUGACUUGUGGCAUGCUUUAACUUGGUUUUUAGCCUUUCAGUAUCCAACAGUCAGAAGUUUACACAGAACUUGGGCUAUAUAUUUUCAGUAGAAAUGGACACUGACAUGCUUGUUUUUUGUGAAAGCAGGUAAAAUUGGUACAAAAAAUGACUGCAUUUUGUUACAUAUCCUAAUGAUUUUUAAAGCAUGAGCAGGUGAACAGUAGAUAUGAUUCUCUAAGUCCCAUUUUCCUAGAAAUUAUCCGUGAACUUCAUUUCUGAGGCUUAUUCUUUUAAAUAUAAAGCAUUUUAACUUCCUAGUGAACGCUCAGAAUUGGCAUUCUUAAUCUAAAUGAGCCUCAAAAACAGUCCCCUACAUUUCAAUGCCUACUUCCAAAAAUCCUUUGUCCUUGAGCAACCAAAAAAGCCACAAAGCUUUGCAGUGCCUUCUUAUUUCAACAAACCCAAUGGAACAUCAGAAAAACAGCUGAAGGAAUGAUUUUCUGUAGUUGCAUUGAGAAUAGUUCCAAAAAUAAAAACUACACAAUUAUUUCCAGAGGUAAGACUGUUCUGACCUGAGGCUUGGUCUUUGCAGACACAUGCAUGUUUUUGGAAGUUCUGAGCUUCUCACAGCAGUUUAAUUACCUACUGUUUUCUUUCACAUUUAUAGCACAGUUUACACUCCCAUUACUGCCCUGUUUUCUAAAAGAUCUUAAAAAAAUUGCAUUUUAAAAUGAAAACCAAAUAUUCUGUGCUCACUAAGGCCUUUAAAUAGAAAGAUGAAUCCUGUCUAAAGCAGGGAGUAAACCUGUGAUGAGACAGCAUCUGUCAGCGUCUAGAGCCUCACAGUGGGACAGCUUGGCUAUGCAAGGAAUGCAUAUGCUUAGCUAAUGCACUGUGUUUUUUUUUUUUUAAAGUUGUAGUAACUGUGUUUUUAUUAGCAUGUAAUCAUUCUGAGAAAACACUAUUUGUGCUUAUAAGCAAUGUGCUAUGUGGUGUUCAAGAAUUUUGAGGUCAGUCCCUAGUGUCUGCAAUCCAUGACAAGCAGAAAGGUGACGUGACCUAGAAGAGACAGAGGCAAAGUCCAGAGAUGGAAAUGGGAAAAUGGGAACAUAAAAGCAGCCCUCCCGAUGCCCGCAAAGUGAAGGACUCCCACUGGCCUCAUUUGGAGUGCUCACAUACAUUUAGUGAUGAAAACGUGUGCCUUCGUAGUCUUUCCUAAAUCAGUUUAAUUCUACUAGUGCCUCUGGUGUUAGUCCAAAGAAGGAAAAGUCACUGAUAUUUUAAGCAUCGUAUCAAUUUGAUUAGCUCCAGGCAAAGUUACAGAAGACAGCCAGUAAAAUACCAACAGCUCCCCUACCACAAAAUUUUAAUUGUUCUUAACACCAGUGGAGUUCAAUUUGUGGUAUCAGUAUAUAGAGCAUUUGUCAAAACAAAUCACUCAGAACAAUGUAGCUUUCUCACAGUGUCAUGCUUUUUGCAAAAAACACACACACACACAUAAAAAUAUGACUCAAGGCUAUGCGUUCCCAUUAUUAAAAAAUAAAAAUUGAUUUUUAUUAAACCAGACAUGACAAACUUCCCAACAAUAUAUGCAUAUAUAAAGUAGCAUUAACCUCCCCAUUCAAAUUACAUUCAAAUUCAAAUUACUGUUUACUCCUAGAAGGAGCCUGGAACACAGUAACGCUAAAAAAAAAACACAAAACCAAAAAACAAACAAAACCAAACAAAAACAACAACAGCACACCAUAAAAUCUAGUACUUGCCAACAAGACUAAAUUAUUUGUUAUUUGUGCAGCAAGCAGACCAAGAUUUGUUUUCAAACAGUGAGUAAACUAUUCUCUUUGGCAACAUUAUUAAUUAUGACUCACCUUUCCCAAAAGAAAUUUUGUAAUGCUUUAGCAACCGAGACAAAUUACAGGAUAAUUUAGUAGACAGUAAAAAACAUCUGCACAAUCUUUUGUAGCAAGAUUCAUAAGAUCAUUAAUCAUAAGUAAAAAAGGUCUUUCACGAAAACCCAAUACAAGUGAGUUAUGCAACCAUAACCUUUCAGGUUCACAAAUCCUGAAAGGUGAAAAUUUGUUAUGACACAGCCAACAGACAGCAUGAACAAACACUUUCUUCUGAUCUAUCCCAAAACACUAAUUAUUCGAAAAUGUAUUUUGCUGAUUAGGUCAUAAAGAUUAAAAGAAAACAUGUAUCAUUAGGUGGCAGUUGUUAAACAUGAAAAAAAAAAAAAGCUUGAGCAACCUUGUAAUUAAGUAGAAACAUUAAUGGUUUGAGGCUAACCCCUUGCGUAGAGAAAAAAUGUAUUAUUUAAAGUUUAGGUAAGCCUCAGUUAACAUCUAAUCAACUACAUUCUUAAAGCAUUGUACAUUGAUAUUGGCUCCCAGACGAGAAAAAAAAGUAUAGAAAAUCAGUCUCACAUCACGAUGUAACUCAAGUAUGGUUUUGUGCACCAAUUUCAUGUUAAGUUCUUAUUUGAUAAACUGCUUUUGGAAUACAGUGAUCUAGCGAUCUAAUUAUACAAUAUACCUUGCAUACGAACCUAGCAAAACAUAGCUGUUUUAGAGAUUUACCUUUGUAUUACACACCCUGUAUUCCAUGACAAUCAGAGCAAUUGCAUCUUCAAAUCCCAG